UUUAUUUUUAUUUAUAUUUCUUUUGAGAUAGUCUUGCUCUGGUUGAGGCUGGAGUGCAGUGGCGCCAUCUUGGCUCACUGCAGCUUCCCUAGCUCAAGCCAUCCUCCCACCUCAGCCUCCUGAGUAGCUGGGGAAUACAGGUGCAUUCCACUGUGACUGCUGAUUUUUCUUUAACUUUUUUGUAGAGGUGGGGUCUCGCUAUGUUGCUUAGGUUUGUCUUGGACUCAUGGGCUCAAGUGAUCCUCCCACCUCAGCCUCCCAGAGUGCUGGGAUUACAGGUGUGAGUCACUGGGCCCAGCCGAGAAAUAAAUUUGAACAGAGCAUUCUGUAAAUGGAACUUAUUUGUGGCACCCUUGUUCUGUGGUAUGCUAGUUUGAAAAAUUCUAGCCUACAACAGUUGAUAUGCAGGCCCUGCUGCUCUCUGCCCGUUUUUUGAGACGGAGUCUCACUCUCACCCAGGUUGGAGUGCAGUGGCACGAUCUUGGCUACUGCAACCUCUGUCUCCCAGGUUCAAGCGAUUCUCCUGCCUCAGCCUCCCUAGUAGCUGAGAUUACAGGUGAGUGCCACCAUGCCCGGCUAAUUUUUGUAUCUUUGGUAAAGACGGGGUUUCGCCAUGUUGGCCAGGCUGGUCUGGGACUCCUGACCUCAGGUGAUCCACCGCGCCUGGCCUGUUCUGUGACUUUCGACAAAGCAAACAAUUUUUGGUUUCUUGGAAUUUCAUUUCUCCCCAUUUAAAAGAGAACGUCCCCCUCCAUCGCUUUCAUGCAAGACAUGGACCUACCCUUAGCGUGGAAAUUGAGCUUGGAAGUAAGGUAGUGUGUAAAGACUAGAUUGAUUAAAAUUCUGGCCUUGAUCACAUCCUCUUACGAUUCUUCUGGGUUGGGGGAGGGUAUGCUGUUUUAAUUCUACCAGAAUGAGAAGAAUUUUUGCUGCUGGAAUCAACAUAAAACUUGGAUGCAGCGUGCGGCAGACUUUGGAAAGAUCUUUCACUAUAGCUUGCUUGGAUAAAACUGGUUUUCCCAUAUUCCUAUCCCUGCAUUUCUUUCAUCUGCCGUGAGAUUGUCCUUGUUAGUCAAGUCACAGCAUAGCUGAUGGGGUAAUAGUAGGAGAACUUAAGCAGGCUUCCUGGCGUAGAGCAGUUGGGCCUUUCUGACAAGCCCAUUUUCAGUUUCUGUGGGUCAAUCUCUGCUUUUGGAAGUGUUUUUCAAGUGUGCCUGUGAUUUUAGAGCAGAUUUUGUGAGCAGAGGGUCUUCAGUUAGUGGACAUCAGUUAGUGGACUUUCUUCAGUAGUGUUUUAGGGCUGGCAUGUAGUUGAGUGAUGGCAGCCCUUGGCGAGCUUUUACUUGGGAGGAUCAUUGUUGCCAUGUCCCAGUAGCCACGAGAUGAGAUAAUUGCAGGCCCUUUGCUCUUUCUGCCUUCCAUCAUUCUGUCAGAUUUGUUUGGAAAAAUUUGUCUGGGGCUGUAGGACAUUGUUUCUUGGAAAUAUGUAACGGUACUUCAUUGGUGGGAGCAGCGUUCUUAGUUCAGUGCCUGGACAGCGUGUUCCUUAGAUAUUCUAAUAAUUUGUAGAGCUUCAGGAUUUGAGACCCUAUGAUUUUAUUUCAGCCUUAUUAUGUAAGAAAGGGUUGGCUGUAGUCUCUCUUGUCGAGACUUGAUCUCUAGGCUAUGUAAAAUCUGAUCAUCCUGGACAGCUCUCCAGCCAACAGGGAGCACGCCAGUGGCCUGACACUGCCAUGUAUUGCCUUGUUCCAUCUCUUUGCAUGCCUUUGCUUUUUCUCCUAGGCAGGCGUAGUCUUACUUAGGUGUAUUUUUUGAAAAGUAUGUCAAGCAUUGUGCACAGAAUAAGUACCCAUCUGAAUGCUGGGUUGGUUGGUUUGGAGGACUGUUUAUUUAUGAAUGUCAUCUUGUGUUACUCAGUUUUUCUGUUAUUGGUAAAGUGAAGAAUGUUUUUGUUGUUGUUGUUAUUUUAUAGUGUGGGGUGAUCAGCCCCAGAUUUGACGUGCAACUCAAAGACCUGGAAAAAUGGCAGAAUAAUCUGCUUCCAUCCCGCCAGUUUGGGUAAGUUGGCCUUUCCUUAAUUAAAAGAAGUUAAUGCUAAGAAUUUCUGUGGUGCAGUUUGACUUAAGGGUUUUUUUCUUUUUUUCUGUUUAAAACAAAGCAGUGGUAAUUUGUCUACUCUUAACCAUUUUGACCUAAUAGCUCAAGUGUUAUCCAUAUUUCUUUUCUCUCUCUUUAAAAAGAGACAGGGUUGGCCAGGCACAGUGGCUCACGCCUGUGAUCCUAGCAUUUUGGGAGGCUGAGGCAGGCGGAUCACCUGAGGUUGGGAGUUCGAGACCACCCUGACCAACAUGGAGAACCCCGUGUCUACCUAAAAUACAAAAUUAGCCAGGCCUGGUGGCACACACCUGUGAUCCCAGCUACUUGAGAGGCUGAGGCAGGAAAAUAGCUUGAACCCGGGAGAGAGGUUGCGGUGAGCUGAGAUUGUGCCAUUGCACUCCAGCCUGGGCAACGAGUGAAACUCUGUCUCGAGAAAAAAGAGAGAGAGACAGGGUUUCACUUUGUUGCCCAGGCUGGAGUGCAGUGGCUGUUCACAGGUGCGGUCAUAACACGCUACAGCCUUGGCUUCUUGGCCUCGAGCAGUCCUCCCCGCUCAGCCUCUUGUGGAUUUGGGAAUACAGGCGCCUGCCACCGUGCCUGGCUAUUUGCCACAUUUCAUGUGUUGAGCUUCAGGUUCUGAGAGGCACAUGAGAGCUUAGACUGGCAGAAAAGGGGGGUCGUGUCCACUUUCAUGUCUGCCCUUUUGGCUCACUGCAGAUAGUUCCCUGUGAUCCCAGAUGAGGGCCAGAAUCAGUUCUAAGCCUAGGCCUUUGGGAAAACUUAGUUUGGGAGUCUUUGUCCUUAAAAGCCUAUCUGAGUUCAAACCCUUGUUUUUCUGCUUUAAAGCCAUGAGAUCUUGGGCAAGUCACAGCCUUGAUUUCUUCAUCCGUAAAAGUGGUAAUAGUUCCUCUGUUUAUCACCUGAUUUAAUUUUGGUAAAGCACUUUAUGAGCUGACACAGUAAAUGUGUAUCUUUGUGGUUAAGAAUUUAUACCCUCCAAAUUAUGCGUCUGGUGCCUUGGUUGAAAGUAUUCUCACUUCAUGGUUGCUGUAUUACAGGUACGGUAUUCUCACCAAAAUCAUUUCUCUUUGUAAUUAUGAUACUGAUUUUAAUGCCGCACAUUUGCAUACUAUAUGCUUGUUACAGUGAUCCCCACAGUAACUCAUGAAGCAGCCACUCAUUGUACAAAUGAACGUCUCCAUAUAAUAGUUUAGCUAUUAUACAGUACAUGGCAGAAACACAAUUCAAACUCAAGUUUAUACGAAUACUUUCAAGUCUCCUUACCUGAGAGCAGAAAGUGACAUUUAAAUUUAAAGGAGUUCCCAGCCUUUGUUUUCAGUGCAGUUUGUUUCAUGGUGUAGGCAGAAGUCAGGGCUGUGUGAUUGUGUGGCUGGGCUCUCUGGAUUUGGCUCUUUGGGUUGCAGGAGUCAUGGCUCAUACGCUACAUGAGGCACCAGCUCAUGUAGGCACUGUCAGUUCCUAUGUGCCCCACAGGAAAGCGCCCUUAACCACUGAUGAGUGUUGAUGUUUUUCUGCACUAGAAGGCACUAUGUUGAACUAUUAAACUUACCAGCACUUUCUUUUUCCACUCCAUAGUUUCAUUGUACUGACAACCUCAGCUGGCAUCAUGGACCAUGAAGAAGCAAGACGAAAACACACAGGAGGGAAAAUCCUGGGAUUCUUUUUCUAGGGAUGUAAUACAUAUAUUUACAAAUAAAAUGCCUCAUGGAC
rnacentral:lncRNA from 10 species